AUUGAACGCUGGCGGCAAGCCUAACACAUGCAAGUCGAACGAGUGGCGGACGGGUGAGUAAUGUCUGGGAAACUGCCUGAUGGAGGGGGAUAACUACUGGAAACGGUAGCUAAUACCGCAUACCAUCGGAUGUGCCCAGAUGGGAUUAGCUAGUAGGUGGGGUAAAGGCUCACCUAGGCGACGAUCCCUAGCUGGUCUGAGAUGAUGACCAGCCAGACUGGAACUGAGACACGGUCCAGACGCCUCCGGAAGGAAGAAGUGGGGAAUAUUGCACAAUGGGCGCAAGCCUGAUGCAGACAGGCCGCGUGUAUGAAGAAGGCCUUCGGGUUGUAAAGUACUUUCAGCGGGGAGGCGUUACCCGCAGAAGAAGCGCCGGCUAACUCCGUGCCAGCCGCCGCGGUAAUUC
rnacentral:rRNA from 1 species